CAACAAAAUUAAAGAGGAUAAAUUUCAAGAGAAUGAUUUGGAGUUUUUGCAGAGUGGAACCAUGCAGUACCCGACUUUGAUUUGCUUGAAUUGCUUCAAGUUGGAGAAGACAGAGAGGGAAAUCGCCACAACGGACGGUGCUAGUAAUAUUAACAGUGGGUCCUCGCCUCGAACGUGGAGAAACAGGGAAGUAGAAGCAUCAUUCUAAGCCUAUUUACAACUGUGUAUAUAUAUUAUUUUUUUUCGUUGUUGACAGUUGUUAAUUUUAUGCGAGAGGUGAUUGAUUUUCUAAGUAAAUGGAUGGCAACAGGCGAUUUGAUCCGGAUAGACUUACACAAGAUCUCAUGAUGCUAUUGAUGUUAAAUUGAAGAGCUGUCGAUCUAUUGCUUAGUAUUUGAAAUUGUAGUAUUUCAUGAAACUAUUUGAAUCUUUUUUUUUUUCAAUUCUUUUGAUGGGAUUAAUAUGCUUUGCAGACUAAUUGUUAGAAUCGAUUUAAAGGCGUGCUUUUUUGCUAUGCAAGGAAUUUUUUCC